UACGGAGGGUGCAAGCGUUAUCCGGAUUCACUGGGUUUAAAGGGUGCGUAGGCGGGCAGGUAAGUCAGUGGUGAAAUCCUGGGGCUUAACCCCAGAACUGCCGUUGAUACUAUCUGUCUUGAAUACUGUGGAGGUGAGCGGAAUAUGUCAUGUAGCGGUGAAAUGCUUAGAUAUGACAUAGAACACCAAUUGCGAAGGCAGCUCACUACGCAGUUAUUGACGCUGAGGCACGAAAGCGUGGGGAUCAAACAGG
rnacentral:rRNA from 1 species